CUCAUCUCGACCUCCAGACUCGAGCGCUUCGCCGCCUCCCGCCGGCCGCCCCCCUCUCCCCCCGUCGCCGCGCGCCGCCACCGACGCCGUGGCCGUUGGCGGCUCCCCCCGCCCCUGCUACCAUGGUGCCGCCGGGACUCCUCCCCGCUGCUGAAAUUCCCCAUCGCCAUCCCAAGGGCCUCGCCCGCCGCGCUCCCCUGGACCCUGAGCGCCGCCGCCCCAGCCACCCUCGAGCCUCCACCAGGUGACCCCAGGCGCCGCUGAUCCCGUGUGCUGCUGCUCAAAGAUUCCCCUGCUUGCUGCCCUCUCCCUCCCACUCCACGGUGCACGGGGCAGGGGGAACUGGGUGGCGGCGGCGGCAUGAUCUCCGGUAAGCAGCGGGGCCCAGCGGCGGGGCCGGGAUCCGGUGGCGGCGGCAAGCUCCUGUAGGUAGGCGACGAGCGAGAGAGAGGGAUUGAGAGAAGGGGAGAGAAAUGGAAGGAAGGAGAAGAAGACGAGCAUGGGCAGUGGGGCGUAGGAGAGAGAGAGGGCGGAGGCAAGGAGGAUAAGGACAGAUGGCAGGGGGCGGCCUGUGUGAUUGCUCCGGUGAUGGCGUCCGGCGUAGGUUCAUACCUCGGCGCGCAGCCGCAAUCCCUCCCCUCCACCGUCUCCACGUGGUGUAGGCUGCUGCAAUCUCGCUAUCCCAGCGAUAUCCCAGAUGCGCGCCACAGCCAGCCAACAAGACCACUAUGUAGCUCAGGCCCAGAAUUGGUCAAUUUUAUACAGCUGCAAUACACAACGAAACACAAAAUAGAUGCUCCUAGGCUCGAUCUUUCUACUGCAACAUACUCGCCCAAUACUUAUUAUCGCACUUUUCUCAACUAACCAUACUCUGUAAGUUUGUGACGAUAACAAGAGGCUGAUAUUUGAGCUGGACUCUUGCGGACAACAGGUUCAGGAGCUCCAAGCCAACAACGGCCAUUGCCUUGAAAAAGAUGUAAGAUUUCUACUAUCUAGCUUCUGUCACAAGAUUUGCUAUAGCCUGUUAUUUUGUAUGGCAGUCAGUUUGUUGUAAGAAUGAGUAAUAGAUCUAUUGUUCAAUUCUUGUUUGAGAUAGAAUACAAGUUAUGUUAAAUAUUCAAUGUUUAUUGAACAUGACCAUAGUGGAAAAGGCUUUAAAGAUAAGAGAUGAGAUAUUUUUUCCUUUAACAGUUCAAUUUCUGAAAAAAAUUCAACACAAUAGCCGAAUUUAUUCCAAUUUUCACAUAUAAUACUUGCCGCUAAGAACUUAUAGGUAUAUGCUUUCACAUGCAGUCCUGUCUUUGCUAACACGUAUGGUGUCAGUUUAGAAAGACCUACGUAAUGUUGUUUUGAUUCUUGGCUUUAGGGGAAAAGGGAUAGGUUCAGAAAAUAUUUAUCUAGAAUAGAUGUAUAUUUAUGUAAGAGGAUAGAUGUACUUACUUACAGAACUACAGUUUGCUGCAGUUGCUAGGGACUGUAGAUUACGGUUCUAAUUCAUUCUUUUGCAUUUCAGUCUGUCAUUCAUUGUUACUUGAAUGUUUCUCUUUUUGUGAUCUCCCAUAGAAGCUUUUUGUUUGUUUUUUCACUGAAACAGCUCUACACGCCUUGUGAAAUUUCUGAUGUAGUUUGGAAAUAUGAGUGAGAACUGCAAGUACGUUGAUACUGCCCUCUAUGUAUUGAAUCCAAGGAUUUUUUUAAUAUAUAUUCUUUUUGUUAAUUUCAAGGGAGGAAGAGAACUCCAGUACUAUGGUAAUGUUCUUGAUUCUGAUUCAACAUGAUUGAUAAUGUUGUUUAGGACCCUAAGCUUUGUCAUGGCUGAUUUAAAUAGGCACAUCUGGUUUAGAAGGAAAGCACUGCUACUAAUUUUAGAACUAGGAUGUCGUAUUUGACAGCUGUCAGGUAUUGCUUAUUUGCAUUGUAAGAUCACAAUUCUAAGGUUAAUCUUUAGUUGUUUAGCAUUGCAUAUUUGGGUCCUUGAAUUCUCUCCUCGAAGAUCAACACAUUUGGUCAGAUUUGGCUUAUUUAAUAAUUAGCAAACAAUAAAUAUUGAACAUCUAUUCAGUGCGACAUUUCUUACAGAUGGUCAGGUCGACAGCGGCAACAUCGUCUUCAUUGUACCAAGGUGCUGCUGCUACUACAACGGCAACCUCCUACUUCCCGAACAUGACCAUUGCAGCUAUCCUUGCUGUAAAUUUUGUCUCUUUUCUUUCUCAUAAAUUAUGGACAUAUGGGCAUUCUGAUCAGGUAAUGUUCUUCUCUAAGAUUUGAUAUUUGAAGCAUGAUGUUUGCGAUCAGGUAAUUUUCCUAGGGUCUUUCAGAUGUCAAUGUUGAUGGAAAAUACACAUGUUGCAUACCUUUUUUGAAAUCAGAAGUGGAUACUAACAUUUCACAUCAUGACAUUGUAGUUUAUAGUGCUAAGCUUGACUCCUCCAUGGUUAUAAUAAUGGACUUACAGUGAGUUGAUUUGUAGUUAACUUUGUCAUUAAGUGGCUGGCUUUUAUCUGAACAAUGCAGUCUUGCAUUCUCUAGGGAGCCAGAGCAAGUCCUUCCUUCCGGUUUGAAUUUGGGGAUUCGAUGAUUUCUGUCGGAUAUAUCAUGUCUAUUUGAUCAGAAAACAUGAGAUGCAAAACAUGUUUUUCCAGCAGAAAUGAAUUCAUGGAUUGGAACUCCUACAGAUUUGAAGUUGUAUGCUGGAUCGACUGCAUAUUUUAUUAAUGGUUUAUCAGUUCAUCAUUCCCAUUAGUUCAAUCGUGGCUGCAGUAACGAGUUUGCCACUACUUCAAUGGAUAUAAUGGAGCAUAGUCGUCAUUAUGUAUGCAAAAGCAUGUAUCAAAAUUUGAAUUACCACGGCGCAUUUAAUUCUCUUGGAGUACUAAACAGUCAUGCGGCUCUCCACAGAUUUCUUCCAAAUGCCUUGCAAAGUUCCGCAGAGAACAAGCUUUCUCGGAAUUUCUUCCAAAUGCAGCAAGUUCCGAGCAAGCAAAACUAUACUCUGUAAAUAAUCUUCCUGAACCAGAGUUCUUAAUUUUCUUUCUAUUUUUACCUUUUCCUGUACUGGAUUUUAAUGUACUGAACACUCUCCUUAAUCAAUGGGAGCAACACCUGAUUGCCUUCAUAUAAAGAAACACAAUGUAAACACAUACGAGGCGAUGUAUAGCUAGCAGGAACAGGACAAAAAUGCUGCUCGAAGGUGAGUGGAAGUGCAUGAUUUUCUAGA